rnacentral:rRNA from 1 species
UACGAAGGGGGCUAGCGUUGCUCGGAAUUACUGGGCGUAAAGGGUUCGUAGGCGGUGCGGUAAGUCGGAAGUGAAAUCUCUGGGCUUAACUCAGAGGCUGCUUUCGAAACUGCCGUGCUGGAGUGCGGGAGAGGCGAGUGGAAUUGCAGGUGUAGCGGUGAAAUGCGUAGAUAUCUGCAGGAACACCCGUGGCGAAGGCGGCUCGCUGGACCGCAACUGACGCUGAGGAACGAAAGCUAGGGGAGCAAACAGG